CAGGUUUGAGGACCAGAGGAGACUCCGGUGGCACAAACACUGAGGUUUCUGUGUAUGAAAACCAGGCUGUGGCCUAUGAGAACCUGCCUCCAGCCUCCACACAUGAAGGGUCCACCUACAUGAGCCUCCACCCAGCCACCAGGGACCAGGACCAGAUCUACUCCACACUCACACAGACACAGUAAUAGCCACGGCCAGAGCCAUUGUGUUCUCAGCUCGUCCGUCUGACCCAUUCUGUGAACGCGGUGUCAGGAACACAGUGUUGGAACUUUGGAUUUGGUAGAAACGUGCACUUGGACUCAAGUAUGAACUGAUUACAUCAUUGUGGUCAAAGUCAUUGACAUCACAUCUGACUCGUUUUUGUGAAUCUGAUUGGUUGGCAGAGACACAAUUGUGAAGCUGUAGUUUUGUUUAGUUUUUCAUUUGACGAGCUCUCGAUUUGCUUGUUUUGAUUUUAUGUACAUGAAUUGAGUUUCUUUUUUACAUGCUACUCUGUUUUUAAUAAUAUCUAUCAUAAUAAAUCACGUGACACUUUUUAAAAUCACAUAUAAAGCAGUUACAAGAUGCAGUGUGUGAAAAAUAAAACAAUAUAGUCAGUAAAACAAUUCAGCCUCAACUUAUCAAUAGAAACAAAUCGAGACUGAAUUCUUCUUCCACCUUCAUCUUUACUUGGAUGUAU